rnacentral:lncRNA from 1 species
GAUUCCUGAGAUGAUGAGUGUGUCAAGCACAUGUGGUCACCACACCUGACAGAGAUGCCGAGACCCAAGACACGUGUGACUGUGCUGGUGUGUGCGUGUGCACACGUGCCCUCGUGCAACGCGUUCUUCAGUCGCUGCCCUGACCCUGGAGGGAACCUGAAUCCGACUCCCCUACAGCUCUGCAGACUGCUCCUCCAACACCAGCUGCAAUGCCAAGGUGAGGGUGCAGAGAUGGAGCCAAGACAUCGUCCACUGCAGGCUGCAGUCCUGACCGCCCUGAACCUCUCAGGACGACCACAUCUUUAUGGCACUCAACCUCCAACAGGGCUUCAGCCAUCCUUCGUAGCUCUCCUCACCUUGGGAAGCCAGAGAUGCCACGGUGUGGAUAGAAGCAGCCUUCAUCUCAGAAAUGCCAGAGAUCCCGUGGAGCCUCUCGCCCACAGUUGCUUCCUCGCUUCCUCUUGGCGGUCCCCUGCGAGGUGCAGUCUGCCUCCUCCUGAAGCUUGGGGGUGCAGUGCGCAGGGUAGACGGACGUCCAGCUCCUGCUGUGUGUCCCCAGUGACAUCACUUCCCAUCAGCACAGCUCUGCAGUCUGAGGCCAUGGGCCCACCCGAGGAAAGGGACUUUGGAAGAGGUCCAGAGACGAGCAAUGAAAAUGAUUAA